CCUUGCAAAAAAUCUAUAAACUCAUAUAUCUCAAUUAUUGAAAUAUUUUCUCAGCUUUUAUCGACCCUUCUCAACGUAAAUGGCAAAAUAUUUGAUGAUUAAUACUCGAAAUUCUGAGUUCGAAUUUUAAGCACCAGCGGCGGAAGGCUUAAUGAUUGAUAUCUGAGUUUCUAUGUUUGAAUAAGUCUAAAUUACUUCUCAUUUUAGCUAAGCUCAUUUUUUAAAAAAUUAAAAGAAGCGAAUUACAUAUUAUCUU
rnacentral:lncRNA from 1 species